rnacentral:rRNA from 1 species
UUCCGGUUGAUCCUGCCGGACCCUACUGCUAUCGGGGUGAGACUAAGCAAUGCAAGUCGCGCGCCUCAAGCCAUGGAGAGGCGCGGCAAACGGCUCAGUAACACGUGGCCAACCUACCCUUAGGACGGGGACAACCCCGGGAAACUGGGGCUAAUCCCCGAUAGGUGAGGAGUCCUGGAAUGGUUCUUCGCUCAAAGGGCGUUGGGGACACGCUUCCCAGCGUUGCCUAAGGAUGGGGCCGCGGCCGAUCAGGUUGUUGGUGGGGUAACGGCUCACCAAGCCUUUAACCGGUACGGGCCAUGAGAGUGGGAGCCCGGAGAUGGGCACUGAGACAAGGGCCUAGGUCCUACGGGGUGCAGCAUGCGCGAAACCUCCGCAAUGCGCGAAAGCGUGACGGGGUUAUCCCGAGUGCCGUCCGCUGAGGAUGGCUUUUCUCUGGUGUAGGGAGCUAGAGGAAUAAGGGGAGGGCAAGCCUGGUGUCAGCCGCCGCGGUAAUACCAGCUCCCCGAGUGGUAGGGGCGAUUAUUGAGCUUAAAGCGUCCGUAGCCGGCUUGGCAAGUCUUCCGUUAAAUCCAGCGACUCAAUCGCUGGGCCGCGAAAGAUACUGCCAGGCUAGGGGGCGGGAGAGGCCGACGGUAUUCUCGGGGUAGGGGUGAAAUCCUAUAAUCCCGGGAGGACCACCAGUGGCGAAGGCGGUCGGCUAGAACGCGCUCGACGGUGAGGGACGAAAGCUGGGGGAGCGAACCGGAUUAGAUACCCGGGUAGUCCCAGCUGUAAACGAUGCGGGCUAGUGUCGGGCGGCUACGAGCCACUUCGGUGCCGCAGGGAAGCCGUUAAGCCCGCCGCUUGGGAAGUACGGCCGCAAGGCUGAAACUUAAAGGAAUUGGCGGGGGAGCAC